UCUUUAUAAAUUACCCAGUCUCAGGUAUUUCUUCAUAGCAGCAUGAGAACGGACUAAUGCAGGGCUCUGGCCCUCGGAUGCCGUUUCCAGCACUGACCUUCCAUGGAGCAUUGGCUUGAGAGAGCAGGCUCACAAAAGGACGAAUGGCCAUUGCUUAUGGAUGAUGGGGCCACAGUGUGUGGACAUGGGCCUGAUAGAAUGCGAUUCCAGAGGCCUCUUCCUGGCUUCUCUGCCAAACAUGGUGUCUUCAUGGCGUGCGUCCGUGCCGGGCUCCCUGCUUGCCUCUUGGGCAGAAGGAACUUGGAGGUGACCCUGAGUGCCUGAGCUGGAAGACGGCGACGACCUUCCUCAGCACUUUGACCAUCUGCGGUGGACCCUGUUGGGGCCAUUGUAGAUCUAACCUGCAGCUUCCGUAGCAGCGUUGGAAUAAACAGCAGCGGGUGAUGAGAAAAACAUGAGGCCCACCUGAGAGCCAUGACUGGCUGCUUUCUGACCAGCUGACUUCCGGGAAACCUGGGAGAGGGCUGAAGGCUGUGACUGGCUCGAUUGCUCAAUAGGGCUGGCCCCAGGAGACCUAUAUGAGGACCUUUUGGGUCACAGCAAAGCACCCUUAAAGAGGACAUCCCAGCCAGGUGUCAGCGUGCUGCCCACUUUUGCUGUCUUCUGAGAGCCAGGGGAGAGGCCACCCUUUCCUCUUCAUGUUCUUGCCUGAAUGUUGGUCUUUGUAUCCUAGCGCCUGUGAGCACUGCCGACUUAACCUCCCUACCGCUCAGGUGAGAGGAGCCACCUGUGAGGCGCCCUGCAUUGCAGACCUGGUGGGGGGAUUUCACCCAGCAUUUAGUGUUCUUCGAAUCCGUAACUCCUGAGCUGGGCAGCCUGGCCAGGAGGAGCGGUGCGUUGGAAACAGCACAUGGCCAUGGCUGCCAAGUCAAGGGGACAUGAAGUCGGGAGGCUCUACCCUCUACACUGCAGCACUCUGAGCUCUCUCGGCGGGGCUCGUGGAGGCCAAGCCAGCCCCCAGGAGCUCUGAGGAGCUGGGAAUGGGUGUGGGUCUGGAGGACAAAACAGCUUCCACGCCUGGAUUGUUGGGUGGGCUUGGAAAAGACACAGGGUGGACUGCGAAACUGAAGGUGACAACUCCUAAAAAGAUGAGAGGGCCACCCUACUGGGAACAGUUAUGAAUGAGGGGCUAUGUAACAUGUCAUGGAAGCAUGCCCAUGUCACAGCAAGAUGUGACAGCUCAGAACCAACUCUUGCUUCCCUACAGGUCACAGGGACAGAGAGCCAUUACUUACCUGUCUGUACGUGGGCAGCCUCAAGGUUUUGUCUGCUUGUGGUUUUGAGCUGGAGGCUGGGAAUCUGGGCUGUGGAUGCAGAGGGAUUGAGAGGUGUUAAAGGCAUCUCUUGGGGACCCUGUGCGUCAGGGAACAGGUAACAGAUGCCUUUCAGUAUCCUUAGAGGACAUGCCGCCCUAGGCUGUGUUCCAAGUCCCAUCUCAGUUCUCUACUGCUAUGUACCAAACCACCCCAAAAUUUCAGAAGCUCAAAGCGAUGGCUUUUUCUCAUGCCUCCGUGAGCUGUUGGCUCUUCUGUGGGUCUCGCCUGGGCUCACUCACGUGGUUGCAGCUAAGGUGGUUUGGCUGGAGCAGAGUGGCCUGAGAGGCCCCUCCCUCGUGGCAGUUCCAGCUGGGAUGGCUGGGGCGUCCUCUCCACGGGGUUGUGCCUCCUGGGCCUCCUCUCUGCAUGGUAUUCUCGGGGCUUUAAGGGGGACUAGCGGAGCCACAAGACCUCUUAAGGCCCAGGCCCUGAAACUCUCACCAUGUCACUUCUGUCACCAUCUGUUGGUCAAAGUCAAGUCACAAGAUGCCGGGGGCAGGGCGGGAAAUGGACUCCACCUCGGGGUGGAGGCAUGGGUUAUGCCCGCCCUGUGCCAGGUGUACAGGAGCUUUGGACUGAGACGUGGAUACCCGAAUUCACCCAAGGCCUCACUGACACAUCGGUUGUCUCUCCCUUAA